AUACUUGCCUGGCAGGGGAGAGACCAUGAUCACAAAGGUGGUUUUCCAGGGCGAGGCUUAUCCAUUGCACUCUGGAUGUGCUGACCCCUGCGAUUUCCCCAAAUGUGGGAAACUCAGCUGCAUAAUUUGUGGUAGUGGGGGACUGCAUUCGCGCUCUCCCGUU
rnacentral:snRNA from 1 species